CCGGGUCAGCCAAAUCCAGGAUCAGUGAAAAAAUGACUUGUUCAUCUGUUCUGGAAUGAGAUCUUUCUUCCCACCAUUCUUAGUUAUAAAGAUAUCUUUUGUGUGGUUGUCGCUAAAUUUAAGCCCAGGCUGAGCGUAUUUAUUUGUGCACUAUCUACAUGCAUUUUAUGCAUCAGCAGUGCAUAGUGGUAGGCUGCACGCACAAUUAGGGCUUUAUGACUUUUGAAGUCACCUAAUACAAAGAUUUAUGUAUUUGCAGCAAUAAAAACCUGUGAUGGGGAUGGAUGUUUUGCAGACCUACAGCCCGAUUCUCCUUUGUGCGGUCUUGGUUUCGCUCCACUGCCUGCAGUGGCACCGAUCCUCACACCACCUGAGCACCACAAGAACAGAAGAAGGAAACCCACCCCCAGUGCAAGCCUGGGGAGGUUGGAUCCCGCAUAGCUCACUCUUAUUUCAGACCGUAGCCCUGCGCAGAGUGGGCCUGGCAACAGGAAGGAAACCUUGCAGGAUGCUCCUUGCACCGAGCAGCUCAUGCAGCAUUGUCACCGUGUCGUGGGGGCUUCCAGGGCACCAAAAGCACAGGUGUGUGCAUGGAAGUGAAGGGAACGUAAGCUUUCGAUGAGGAGCCGGGUUAAUGGAUACUGAAGAUGGUGGUGGUAGGGAGAAUGGUAAAGGAAAAUUCAGGAGCUGGUUUUACCUCUUUCAGUUUUGAAGGCUCCUAGGCAAAAUGGCUCAGAGCCGUCCAGCUAUGGGAAAAAAAAAAGGGAAAAAAAAAGAGAAUCCUUUUGCAUAGGUUUUGAUUUGUUGUGUUUUUUGGGGUUUUUUUUCAUGACGAUGGGAAACAGAGCGUAGCCAAACUCCUGACAUUUCAUGAGUUAUAAAUAUUGUACAAAAUUAUACUUCUGGCACCAGAAAAUGCUUUCUCCUGUUGUUCAAAGUGACUCCAGAUGCUGAUGUAUUUAGUGUACUGCGCAAGCACGCGGACCGGAAUGAAAAAGCAAAGUAAAUGAGUUUACAUUCAUCUGUCAAUACUCCUAAGGGACAGCCUGUUCAGGCUGCCAAGUCUGCUCUGCGUAUGCGUGCAUAACUUCAGCGGGCCGGAGAUUCCCACAGUGGAAUCUCCUCCAUGAGCAGGGGCGCUCUGCCGCCGCAACCUGGUGGAGGUGGUGACCGCUCCCCUUCUGAGUGUCCUCCAUCUCCUGCAGGAUUGGCAGAAAGAGCUUUCCAAAGGACCUGGGCAUUUUACGUUUUAAAUAGCUAUAUGUUUCACUGACUGCUGUCCCUCACUUGAGACAGUCCCAUGAAAAGGGAUUUUGACUGUACAAACAGCAGCAAUUUCCAUCCCAAACGCUGGAGUGAUUUGAUGCCCAUGAAAAAAAGCAAACAAGGCACAUGUGAGAGAAGAAGCUGCUGUGGCCAAUGUCCAGCAUAUGUUGGAAACACAUGGAAGAAAGAAGAAAAGAUGAGAGAAUUCAAGAGAUGAAGCGUCAAUGGAAUCGUGAAGGCUGGAAAAGACUGCUAAGUUCAUCUAGUCUUCACCAUCAGCCCAUCCCCAGAAUGCCCACUAACCCAUGUCCUUCAGUGCCAAUGAGAGAGGCAAGCGGUGAGAAAGGGCAAGUUAUGGAAGGGCCAUGACAGGAGUGCCAUUGCUCAUCACCCUCACAACAUGCCGAGCCUUGGAGCCCACGCUGUUUCUAGCUGCCUGAAUGUAACCAUGGUGAAGACUCAGCUUUAGAGCAG
ensembl:lncRNA